GCGCACCAGGCGAGAAACCUCCGCAAUGCGGGAAACCGCGACGGGGUCAGCCGGAGUGCUCGCGCAUCGCGCGGGCUGUCGGGGUGCCUAAAAAGCACCCCAUAGCAAGGGCCGGGCAAGGCCGGUGGCAGCCGCCGCGGUAAUACCGGCGGCCCGAGUGGCGGCCACUUUUAUUGGGCCUAAAGCGUCCGUAGCCGGGCUGGUAAGUCCUCCGGGAAAUCUGGUCGCUUAACGAUCAGACUUCCGGAGGAUACUGCCAGCCUAGGGACCGGGAGAGGCCGGGGGUAGUUCCCGGGGUAGGGGUGAAAGUCCUGUAAUCCCGGGAGGACCACCUGUGGCGAAGGCGCCCGGCUGGAACGGGUCCGACGGUGAGGGACGAAGGCCAGGGGAGCGAACCGGAUUAGAUACCCGCGUAGU
rnacentral:rRNA from 1 species